UACGAAGGGGGCGAGCGUUGUUCGGAGUUACUGGGCGUAAAGGGCGCGUAGGCGGCGAUCCAAGUUAGGCGUGAAAGCCCCGGGCUCAACCUGGGAAUAGCGCUUAAGACUGGGUUGCUCGAGUGCGGGAGAGGUGAGUGGAAUUCCCAGUGUAGAGGUGAAAUUCGUAGAUAUUGGGAAGAACACCAGUGGCGAAGGCGGCUCACUGGCCCGCAACUGACGCUGAGGCGCGAAAGCAUGGGGAGCGAACAGG
rnacentral:rRNA from 1 species